rnacentral:rRNA from 1 species
UACGUAGGUGGCAAGCGUUGUCCGGAAUUAUUGGGCGUAAAGCGCGCGCAGGUGGUUCUUUAAGUCUGAUGUGAAAGCCCACGGCUCAACCGUGGAGGGUCAUUGGAAACUGGGGAACUUGAGUGCAGAAGAGGAAAGUGGAAUUCCAAGUGUAGCGGUGAAAUGCGUAGAGAUUUGGAGGAACACCAGUGGCGAAGGCGGCAUCCUGGCCAUGUCCUGACGCUCAGGGGCGAAAGCGUGGGGAGCAAACCGG